UCUUCCUUCCAUGUCCAGUGCUCUCAGCACUGUCCAUGGAUCCAAACUGCUUCUUAGGUCCUUUUAAGAAUGCCUUGCCCAAUUCCAAGAAAUGGCAGCCUCUCACCAUUUGGGACACCUGUCCCCCCCAUAUUCACUCCCCUGGGGCCUGGGUCUCAGGAACAGAGAUCCUUUGCUGAAGGCAGAGGGCUCCACCACACAGUCCCAGGGCUCCCCAGUCUGAGGGCUCCCCAUCAGUCUCUGCUCCCUCUACUUCUCACAACACUUUGUCACUCCUGGGUUCUGGCCAACCGCCUCCCCCAAGGUGCAGUUUCUACACUACAGGAAGAAAUGGCCAUCCUCAGUUUAGAAUUCUUUGAAUUAGUGGAGAGGGAGCCUUGCCAGUUUAGUAAACACCUGAUGAGACCCAUAUAUCACAACAAAACACAGGAUUCAGAAGCCUGGCCUACCUUGCAUGAAAAGCUGAGAACACAGCCAUUAAUAGAGUGUAACCUAAAAUGAGAACUGUAGAACCAAGACAAGGCAGUGAAGCAACAUAUGCCUGGAUGCUGUUGAUAUUUUUGCCAUAUUGGUUUAAACCUAGGAGGGAGUAUUUUGUCUGCACUCUCAGUAGAUAGCCUAACACCAUGGCAGAGGCACACAGCUGACAAGUGACACAACAGAGCACUGGUGUGAAGUGACACAAGCAGCUGAAAGGCAAGGAGACUUUUCUGUAUGCUUUGCUCAUAUGCUUUCUUUUCAUGUUGCAAGAUCUUAAUUUUAAAAUGUGAUACAUUAUUUGGUUAACAAGGAAUCUAUGAAAAUGGAUUUUGGUUUUUAAGCAAGAUCAAAGAAAAUACCGCCUCCCAGUUCUCUACUUCUGCCUUUUGAGCUGAUUUUGACUGGAUUCCAGUAUCUAAAUUUUGAGCAUGCCUGAGGAGGCUUGUUUUACUGUUCUAGUAGGCCCACAUAUUCUGUGAGGACAUUAAAAUAUAUUCUUUCCACUAAGCAUUACACCAUGUGUUGGGAGGAAAGGGUUAGAACCAGAAGAUUUGGUGAUGAGUGAAUAAAGUCAUCUUGCAGGU